UAUAUAAUGUAAUAUGUUUUAUUAUAAAUCUGAAUUUUUAGGCUAAUGUAUUAUAAAUGCAUAAAGAAGGUAUGGAAGUUUCAGUUUUACACAACACCUUGUACUGAAUGUACAAAAGCAAGUUUAGAAUUAUUACAGACAGAAAAACACAAGCAUUAUGUAUAUUUUUGACAUAUUUGAUGUGAGCAGAAAUAUUUCAUUGGUUUUUCUGCACCUACCAAUGCAUCCCAUUUGUGGAGUAGAGAGAAUGCAGUGAUCACUGCAAUAGGGAAAACACCUACCUGAAAAUUACUUUUCAGAAAAUUCAUUGUCAGGUAGCCAGAAGUAGUCAUGGGGGGGGGGGCAAAAGUUUCCCUAAUUAUGGUGUUUUCAUUCAGGCUAAGAGGAAGAUUCACCCAACUCCCUCUUUCUCCCCAAUUAUGUGUUGUUAACAUGACAGGGAUUUGAAGGAGUUACUUGGCAGAAGUUUUAUAGUUACUAACCUAUGAACAUUUGUAUUUCUAGUGUUCAAUGGAAAGAUAUUUUUCUGUUACUGUGUUGAUACAUUUUCUUUUACUGCCCCCUUAGCUUUGACCUCUUUUCCCCAGAAAGUAUUAAUAUUACCCUUUGGUCUUUACUAACUAUCCAGCUCAUCAAUAUUAUUUAGGCCCUCUUUCUUGGUAACCUUCCACUAUUAAUGGUAUUGGGUUAUGUUGCCCUGCUGUGCUUUUAACAUAUUAAAGAUUCUAUUUUUAGUGUAUAGCUUCUAUAAAACAUUCUGUAGAUUAUUUUGUUUGUAUAUUGCUUAUAUGUUUUUACAAUAGUUUCAUUCUGCCUUGUUUUAGUUCUUGUGUUUCUCUCUGAUGGGAUACAACGAGCUAUGUUAACUCUCCUAAUUACCCGAACUAGUAUGACGAGAUUGCAAGUGGAGAAAGCAAGGACUAGAAAACUUCUUGUGCUUAUCAGCUGCAGACAUGCAAUAGACCUUACAUAAAUGCUUGGUGAAUGGAUUAGUUAGAAGAGCACCGUGCAGCAAGUCACCUGCGUGGUCCAUUCGAGCUGCAGAUUUGUCUGUCAUCCUUGUACAACAGUGUUCUCCUCCACUGCCGCUCCAGGGAAGUGCAUCACCUACCAGCAUACUGGAGCAAAAUGAAAGAGUUUAUUUUGAGGCCUCCGAAGUAGUGCUGCCACAGACCAUGAGCAAGAGAGGAAGAGUGGACUUCAGCCUGCACAACUGGUCUUGAAACACAAGUGGUUUGGGGUCUAGGUGUUUUACAUUGAGUUUCUCUACUGCCACCCUUUCUACUCAAACAAAAUCUGGGUGAAAAGAUCUUCUGGAAAAGAACUGACUGCUUAUGUUUCUCCAUUGUGAUGAAAGCACAUGGUACAGUUUUCCAAAGAAAUUAGUCCGUUUUCUUGGUGAAGAGGAACCAAUCUGCUGUUUUCAUAGGAUUGCUCGCACUGCUCGGUGAAAGGAAGAAAGAGCCGUCCUGCCCAAACCCAGGAGCACUCCAGCUUCCUGUGGAAGUCUCCAUGGUGAAGGAUAGGCUGGGGCUAUCUGUGAACAGCGCACAGUGAAUGUUAUUCCAGAGCUGCUGCUGGCCGAUCGCACCCACGGGGAGAUG